GACGAACGCUGGCGGCGUGCUUAACACAUGCAAGUCGAACGGAAAGGCCCUGCUUUUGUGGGGUGCUCGAGUGGCGAACGGGUGAGUAACACGUGAGUAACCUGCCCUUGACUUUGGGAUAACUUCAGGAAACUGGGGCUAAUACCGGAUAGGAGCUCCUGCUGCAUGGUGGGGGUUGGAAAGUUUCGGCGGUUGGGGAUGGACUCGCGGCUUAUCAGCUUGUUGGUGGGGUAGUGGCUUACCAAGGCUUUGACGGGUAGCCGGCCUGAGAGGGGGACCGGGGACAUUGGGACCGAGAGACGGCGCAGACGGCUACGGGAGGCAGCAGGGGGGAGUAUUGCACAAUGGGCGGAAGCCUGAGGAAGCAACGCCGCGUGCGGGAUGAAGGCCUUGGGGGUGUAAACCGCUUUAGCCUGUGACGAAGCGUGAGUGACGGUAAUGGGUAAAGAAGCACCGGCUAACUACGUG
rnacentral:rRNA from 1 species